CUAAGCUCAGAAACAGUCGUUGGCUAGCUACGCUGAAAGAGAGCCAAGUAUACACAUCAGAAGGCACUGUGAAACAGAGGGCCACCCAACUGUGCCACGAUGGACGAACAGUCAUACCGUUACGUUGAAGGCCUAUGGAUGCACAAGCUAUUCAAGGAUGAAGCUAUCCUCUCCGCAAUGAACUACAAACCACGGAAAGGAGACGUACUUGUUGUCCUCUACGGCGACUACUUCAAUCAUCUUCUGCCAUGGUAUGAGCAUCGAGGAGCAGAAAAUAUUCUCUUCAUCACAUAUGAACAACUGAAGGCGGAC
rnacentral:lncRNA from 1 species